GAUUUAUCGUUGGGUGGGGGAUAACCUUGGGAAACUGGGGCUAAUACCGCAUGACGCCUGUGGGCCAAAGCAGCAAUGCGCCUGAUGAGGAGCCUGCGUUCGAUUAGCUAGUUGGUGGGGUAAAGGCCUACCAAGGCGACGAUCGAUAGCUGGUCUGAGAGGAUGAUCAGCCACACUGGGACUGAGACACGGCCCAGACUCCUACGGGAGGCAGCAGUGGGGAAUAUUGGACAAUGGGCGCAAGCCUGAUCCAGCAAUGCCGCGUGGAU
rnacentral:rRNA from 1 species